rnacentral:rRNA from 1 species
AUUGAACGCUGGCGGCAUGCCUUACACAUGCAAGUCGAACGGCAGCAUGAUCUAUCUUGCUAGAUUGAUGGCGAGUGGCGAACGGGUGAGUAAUAAAUCUGCACGUGCCCUGUAGUGGGGGAUAACUAGUCGAAAGAUUAGCUAAUACCGCAUACGACCUGAGGGUGGAAGUGGGGGACCGCAAGGCCUAAUGCUAUAGGAGCGGCCGAUGUCUGAUUAGCUAGUUGGUGAGGUAAAGGCUCACCAAGGCGACGAUCAGUAGCUGGUCUGAGAGGACGAUCAGCCACACUGGGACUGAGACACGGCCCAGACUCCUACGGGAGGCAGCAGUGGGGAAUUUUGGACAAUGGGCGAAAGCCUGAUCCAGCAAUGCCGCGUGUGUGAAGAAGGCCUUCGGGUUGUAAAGCACUUUUGUCCGGAAAGAAAUGGCUCUGGUUAAUACCUGGGGUUGAUGACGGUACCGGAAGAAUAAGCACCGGCUAACUACGUG